AUUGAACGCUGGCGGCAGGCCUAACACAUGCAAGUCGAACGAGUGGCGGACGGGUGAGUAAUGUCUGGGAAACUGCCUGAUGGACGGGGAUAAAUACCGGAAACGGUAGCUAAUACCGCAUACCAUCAGAUGUGCCCAGAUGGGAUUAGCUAGUUGGUGGGGUAACAGCUCACCAAGGCGACGAUCCCUAGCUGGUCUGAGAGGAUGACCAGCCAGACUGGAACGGAGACACGGGCCAGACUCCUACGGGAGGCAGCAGUGGGGAAUAUUGCACAAGGGGCGCAAUCCUGAGACAGCCAUGCCGCGUGUGUGAAGAAGGCCUUCGGGUUUUAAAGUACUUGUGGCUGGGAGGCGUUACCCGCAGAAGAAGCACCGGCUAACUCCGUGCCAGCAGCCGCGGUAAUAC
rnacentral:rRNA from 1 species